rnacentral:rRNA from 1 species
AAUGAACGCUGGCGGCAGGCCUAAAACAUGCAAGUCGAACGCUGUAGCAAUACAGAGUGGCGCACGGGUGCGUAACACGUGGGAAUAUGCCUUUUGGUACGGAAUAGCUCCGGGAAACUGGAAUUAAUACCGUAUGGUCCCUUCGGGGUAAAGAUUUAUCGCCAAAAGAUUAGCCCGCGCUGGAUUAGCUAGUUGGUGAGGUAAUGGCUCACCAAGGCAACGAUCCAUAGCUGGUCUGAGAGGACGAUCAGCCACACUGGGACUGAGACACGGCCCAGACUCCUACGGGAGGCAGCAGUUAGGAAUAUUGGACAAUGGGCGCAAGCCUGAUCCAGCCAUGCCGCGUGAGUGAUGAAGGCCUUAGGGUUGUAAAGCUCUUUUGUCGGGGACGAUAAUGACGGUACCCGAAGAAUAAGUCCCGGCUAACUUCGUGCCAGCCGCCGCAGUAA